GAUGAACGCUGGCGGUGUGCCUAAUACAUGCAAGUCGAGCGAACAGACGAGGAGCUCGCGCCUUCGACGGUAGCGGCGGACGGGUGAGUAACACGUAGGUAACCUACCUAUAUUACGGGGAGAACUUCGGGAAACCGGAGCUAAUACCGGAUAAUAUUUCGAACCGGAUGGUUCGAGAGUGAAAGAUGGCUUUGCUAUCACAUAUAGAUGGACCUGCGCCGGAUUAGCUAGUUGGUAAGGUAACGGCUUACCAAGGCAACGAUACGUAGCCGACCUGAGAGGGUGAUCGGCCACACUGGAACUGAGACACGGUCCAGACUCCUACGGGAGGCAGCAGUAGGGAAUAUUCCGCAAUGGGCGAAAGCCUGACGGAGCAACGCCGCGUGAGUGAUGAAGGUCUUCGGAUCGUAAAACUCUUUUAUUAGGGAAGAACAACCGUGUAAGUAACUGUGCACGUCUUGACGGUACCUAAUGAGAAAGCCCCGGCUAACUACGUG
rnacentral:rRNA from 1 species